AAUGAACUACUAAACGUAAUUAGUUUCUCUGAUAUCCCACCUAAGCGACUCUUCAUGUCUUGAACCUUUAAGUUCAAACCCUGUUAAAGAAAGCAACAAUACAACCCAAGUAAUACACAACACAUGUAAUAACAUUUAUUUUUUAUGAACCCAAGUAGAAUAGGACAUACGUAUUACUUCAAGCAAUAUAUUGCACAUAUACAAUCAUACAC
rnacentral:lncRNA from 1 species